rfam:Mustela putorius furo unplaced genomic scaffold scaffold00053, whole genome shotgun sequence.
AGCUUUGGCCAGUGGCAGUAUCGUAGCCAAUGAGGUUUAUCCGAGGUGCGAUUAUUGCUAAUUGAAAAAAAAAAAAAAUCAAUAAACAGCUGUGUGACCUCUGGCAAGUCACGAAGCCUCUCUGGGCUCCAUUUUUCUUG